rnacentral:tRNA from 1 species
GAAUAUGAAGCAAUUUUGCAAUUAGUUUCGACCUAAUCAUUGAUAUUAACUUAUCCUUAUUCU